rnacentral:pre_miRNA from 1 species
AUGUUGACAGAAGAUAGAGAGCACAGAGAAGCAUGAAUUGCACAUAGAUAUUGCAAUUCACUCCUUCGUGCUCUCUAUGCUUCUGUCAUUACC